CUUCGGCUUUCCUUCCUCCCAGCCUCCGUGUCCCCUCCCUCUGCCCUGAGUGACGAUAGCGCCCCCUCUCCAGCACGACACUGAGGCCCCCGGUGGCCUGGCCCCUGCCUCCUUUCCAGUUAUUAUUUCCUCACAGUCCGCCCUUCAGAAACACUACUCUGCCCCCAGGCACACUGCCUGGGCCUUGGUCCCUGUGCUCCCGUUGGACCUCAGCUGUCAAGGACCUUCUCACCUUCCUCUGGGCUGGCUACACAUUCGUCAUCAUUCAAGAGUCACCUCCUCCAGGAAGACCGUGUGAGCCCCAGGGAUGCCUAAAUGCGGGACUCUGGGGCCCUUCACCUUCUGUCCUCAGCAUGUAGUUCUGGACCACUGGUUUUCAAAGGUGGGGACUUUGUAUUAACUGCAUCACAAGCUCCCAGGGUAGCUGUUAAAAUCACAGCUUCCUGGGCCAGAAGCUCUGGGCAAGAGGGUCAGGGAGCUGUGCCCAUGGCAAGCCCUCCAGGGCCCUGCUGUUUCCUAAGUUGAACAACUGCCCAGACAGGACCUUUCCUGCUCUCUACCCUCAGCAGCUUGUCCUGGGCUUGGGACCUGGACGGUGCUCAGAAAACGUUCUUUGAGCAGAACCUAAUCAUUCCAACAAGGACUGGCCGUGGACAUGUUUCUACAGUAUCUACUCCCCUGAGCACUGCCCAGAUCUGUAAAGCCAAUGGGGCAUUUUGGCUAAAUAAAAUAUUUAGCCACAGAAUGGGCCAAUCACCACCAAGAGUAAAACUUCUGAGAUACUAGGACCCGUCUGGGAUAUUUUAAAAUUUUAUAAAUUUCUGCUUCUAGAUUCUUCCUGCAGCAACAUCUGUGCAACCAUGAUAGGAGAUAAUCUUCCCUUUUAGUGGAGUUUAUGCAGAGUGGGUGGGUGGGGGGCUCAUACCCUUAAGGGAAUAAAAUACGUAACCAGUAAAUAUGGUUCUUGAAGCUGUUUUACUUCAAUGUAUGAAUCCUAGUGUAUCGAAUCCAUGUAAUAAAGAUUAGAUGGGUGAUAUACUCUAAUUGCUAGUGUUAUUAUUUAAAUAUUUAUAAAAAUUUGCUGAGAAUACAAUAUUCCCCUCCCCGCCAAGUUAUUUAGCUAAGGACCUCUCAAUGUUAACCCAAACUGAUUGCCUUACUUUUAUUUAAGUACUCAAACGUUCUUAAUAACUGUUUUGUACAUGAAACGAAGGGCUUUGCCAAUCAUCAUUAACUAACACAGCAUUUUACUCCUGUGAUUAAUUCCAUUGUCUGGCUGAAUUUCAACAUUUGAAGCACCGCAGGAGAGGCUGGCUGGGAGAUAGGGCUAUAAUGCUUCCCAUAUUUGGAAGUGGGAAUUCAGAGCACGAUGCUAUAACCAAAUGGAGCCCCGUUCCCAUCACUGACCGUGCACCGGUCAGAUACCAUGGCAAUCUCUGUCAUCAUCCAGUCCUGGCCACACUCAUGCUCUGCGAUGCCAGAAAUGAUCUUGAGUUGGUGUUCCAUGUCAGCCUUCCAAGGACAGAGGCCGAAGCCACGGAUACAUAGUGAAGAGAAAGACACCUACAUUGCCCGUGUCACGGAUCCACAAAUAAACGUCACCCCUGCCACCUCAUCUCCCAUGAGAGGGUGUUUCUUAUCCUCAUCACCAAGGGAGAGCAUAUUUCUGGGAGUUCUAGAGACACUUCCUAAAUAAAAGUGCAGAAAGCCCCAGUAAGAAUGAUCUUUACUGGGGCACCGGGGUGGUUCAGUCGGUGAAACUUCUGACUCUUGAUUUUGGCUCAGGUCUUGAUCUCAGGGUCGUGAGUGAGUUCAAGCCCCGUGCUGGGCUCAACACUGGGCGUGGCGGUUGCUUAAAAAAAAAAGAAGUAUCUUUACUGCUUUCUUCAGAAUUAAGGAAGGAACCAGGGCAUGUCCACUAUGCCCUGAGGGAGGCACUGAGUGCCGUGUUCAUAUGGGUGCGUUGGUUGAAACUGGUGGUGCCACUGGCCAGCGGUAUGACUUUGGCUGAGGUACGUCACCCCUCUGACCUUCUGUUUCUUCCUCUGUAGAACCAUGAAGGGACUGUCUGAGAAGGCAUCUUCCAAGCGCUCAGGGACAGCUACGUGUUGACCAUGUCAUUCUGACGUCAUCAGUGUCAAGCGCCAGUAGGACAUUCACUAACAUUUAUGGGCACCUACUAUGUGCUAGGUGCGGGUCCAAGCUUCUAACCAGCAUCCAGUCAUUUAAUCCUCCCAAUAGCCUUGUUUUGGAGAUACUGCCAUCAUCCCGCUGUUGGAAGAAACAGCCCCUUCCUUUGCCCUGCUAAUCGGGGCGGAAGGGCAGCUCCCGUUUAAAGCCGGCUUCAAAGCUACAUUCCCAGCUGGGUGGAACUGGCACAAACUGGCUACUCCGAGAGAGCCAUUGGGCAGGACAAAGAGGAUGAUGGGAGACGUGCCUGGUGCGGAGAGCCUGUGAUUAGGCUGUGACCGGGACUGACUGAUUGCUCUGGCUCUCAAGGAAUGUCUCUUCAAGGAGAUCCAGCUCCCCCAAGGGCACUUGGAAGACGGAGGUCAUGUGGCAAAUGAGGACACGGGCCCUCGCAUCAUAGUGCCCUGGGAAGAGAGAAACAAGGGCAGAGAAUCAGUUUAGCUUUUAAAGAGCAGUGUAAGGGAUACAGCCCCAGGCCUGGAAACGGCCUCCAUGCACCACCCCACGGAGGCGGUCAGCUAACCUGCGGGCCAGCCUCUUGGAUGGGAUACCGUGUAGCACUGAAAACCACUGAUCAGAGACAAGGUGGUAUUUUCAUGAGAUUAGCAAAGAUGAAUUUUUUUUAACCCCAAAGGUUUUAAGGAAGUGUUGAAAACAGUUCUCAGAACAGCGCUUGCCACAAAGAACAAAUGUUCAAUGAAUAAUUUGACGGACCUGAGAGGGAUCCUGUUUGUGUGUCUAACCCUUGGCAAACAGCACAUCCUCUCUUGGGUGGAAAACGGAAAUGGUCAGUCACCUCACAAAGGUUUGAGGAGAGGAGUUCCAGUCCACGAGAGGCCCCUAAAGAACAUUACGGAAUUAGACUCCUCCGCCGGGUGCCCACGAUGUGGGUAAGUAUAUUAUACUAAAGUAUUACUAAAUUAUACUACAGUAGUAGUGGCUAGCUAGCUUCACCACGCGUGGCCCUCCGAAGUCCUGGAGUCUGAGGUUUCAGCUUCUACAGAAUAAACCAGUCCCUUCCUAGCACUAGGGCACUCCGCGAGCCAUGAACUGGCAACAUUUGCCCCGCUGUCCUGGACCGCAACUGCCGAGGUGCUGGAGAAUAGGCAUGUCGUGUCCUGGGGUUCCUGGGUCA